GGUGGCUCAGUGGUAGAGUGCUUGUCUUGCAUGUAUGAGGACCUGGGUUCGAUUCCUCAGCACCA
rnacentral:tRNA from 1 species